AACAAAUCAACUUUUCAGUUUUUAGAUACAACAUUUAACUCUUCGUCUUAUUCAAAAAAAUUACGAUUAAUAAUUUUAUUUUUAUUAGAUGAUAAAACAUGAAUAGUAUUUUAUAUGUGACUAAUUUUUUUUAAAAUUUCUUGAAAUUUUUUUAAAUAAGACGGACGGUCAAAUGCUCGACACAAAAACC
rnacentral:pre_miRNA from 1 species